CACGUAGGGGACGAGCGUUGUCCGGAAUCAUUGGGCGUAAAGCGCGUGUAGGCGGCUGACUAAGUCCGCUCUGAAAGCCCGGGGCUCAACCCCGGGAGGCGGGUGGAUACUGGUCAGCUCGAGUCCGGAAGAGGAGUGUGGAAUUCCUGGUGUAGCGGUGAAAUGCGCAGAUAUCAGGAGGAACACCAAUGGCGAAGGCAGCACUCUGGGACGGUACUGACGCUGAGACGCGAAAGCGUGGGGAGCGAACAGG
rnacentral:rRNA from 1 species